GAUGAACGCUGGCGGCGUGCCUAAUACAUGCAAGUCUAGCGAACGGACGAGAAGCUUGCUUCUCUGAUGUUAGCGGCGGACGGGUGAGUAACACGUGGAUAACCUACCUAUAAGACUGGGAUAACUUCGGGAAACCGGAGCUAAUACCGGAUAAUAUUUUGAACCGCAUGGUUCAAAAGUGAAAGACGGUCUUGCUGUCACUUAUAGAUGGAUCCGCGCUGCAUUAGCUAGUUGGUAAGGUAACGGCUUACCAAGGCAACGAUGCAUAGCCGACCUGAGAGGGUGAUCGGCCACACUGGAACUGAGACACGGUCCAGACUCCUACGGGAGGCAGCAGUAGGGAAUCUUCCGCAACGGGCGAAAGCCUGACGGAGCAACGCCGCGUGAGUGAUGAAGGUCUUCGGAUCGUAAAACUCUGUUAUUAGGGAAGAACAUAUGUGUAAGUAACUGUGCACAUCUUGACGGUACCUAAUCAGAAAGCCACGGCUAACUACGUG
rnacentral:rRNA from 1 species